rnacentral:rRNA from 1 species
UUUGAAAGGGAAACGAUUGAAGUCAGUCGUACCAGCGGGAAAUCAACCUUUCGAGUGGGGUUUUGGAGUUUUGAAGUGCGUCAAAACCUUUGAGAUUUCAAAAUGUUCGCUCUUUUGGUGUACUUUCUCGUAGGUAGGUUAACAUCGAUUUUGAUCAUCAUAAAAGGAUUGGAGGAAUGUAGCUUCGAUCUCGUAUUGAAGUGUUGUAGCCUUUGGUAAAUGUGAUGAUUAGGAUCGAGGAUUGCAACGAAUACCCUUUUUGGGCUAUCCGCCUGAUCUCUGAUACGUGGCCUUG